rnacentral:tRNA from 1 species
GCAUUGGCGGUUCAGUGGUAGAAUUCUCGCCUUCCAGGCAGAAGACACAGGUUCGAUUCUUGGCCGAUGCA